GACGAACGCUGGCGGCGUGCCUAAUACAUGCAAGUCGAGCGGACAGAAGGGAGCUUGCUCCCGGAAGUCAGCGGCGGACGGGUGAGUAACACGUGGGCAACCUGCCUGUAAGACUGGGAUAACUUCGGGAAACCGGAGCUAAUACCGGAUAGGUUCUUCCUCCGCAUGGGGGUAGAUGUAAAGACGGUUUCGGCUGUCACUUACAGCUGGGCCCGCGGCGCAUUAGCUAGUUGGUGGGGUAAUGGCCCACCAAGGCGACGAUGCGUAGCCGACCUGAGAGGGUGAUCGGCCACACUGGGACUGAGACACGGCCCAGACCCCUACGGGAGGCAGCAGUAGGGAAUCUUCCGCAAUGGACGAAAGUCUGACGGAGCAACGCCGCGUGAGCGAAGAAGGCCUUCGGGUCGUAAAGCUCUGUUGUUAGGGAAGAACAAGUGCCAGAGUAACUGCUGGCACCUUGACGGUACCUGACCAGAAAGCCACGGCUAACUACGUGCCAGCCGCCGCCGUAA
rnacentral:rRNA from 1 species